CGUGGCUCUGGGCUCGGGUGCUGGGGCUGUGAUGUCCUCGGAAAGUCAGCUCCAGCCCCAGAACCCCGCGUGUCCGGGCGAUGGGCGAGGGUCGGGGACACAAAGGGGAAAGGGGGCGGGGAGCAGAGGUGUCCCUCUGACGGCGGCAGAAGAGGCAGACAGACGGACAGACCCGCAGACCAACAGUGCGGCCCCAGGGUUCGUCCCCAGACUUCUCCGGACCUGGCGCACCACGCCGCCAGCCCCGCGGCGCUCCAGGGCCAGGUCUCCAGCCUGUCCCACCUGAACUCCUCGGGCUCGGACUAUGGCACCAUGUCCUGCUCCACCUUGCUAUAUGGUCGGACCUGGUGAGAGGACACCGGGCCGGGCCGGGCCCAGCGCGCUGCCUCAUCGCUUUCCCUCCUGCCGGCCACACGUCACCCACCACUCGCCGCUCCCUGCGCUUCGACUUUUCUUAAGAAUCUGUCCCGUUUAGACCAAGGGGGAAAAAAAAAUCACAAAAGCCAAACUGCUGGACGUCUUUUUUUUUUUUUUUUUUUUUCUAAAAUUUGUGGGAAUUUUUUUUAAAAAGAAAACAAAAGCAACCAAGUGAAUCCAACUCUUUAAGGAGUCUUUAAACAGAGAAGGACAUAACAAAAACAGCUUCUGGGGGUGUCUUUUAGGUGAUUGAAAUGGGUUUCCCUCGCUCAGGCAGGGUGCAGUUUGGAGAGGGCUCUACGAGGAUACGGCUCUGGACUCUUAAAGCUCGCAAACUUCACUCUGGGUACACUGUGCCAGCAAGGCGGACUCGCUUGUAAAUACCAGGAUUUCUUUUGAAGGGGAGAUGGGGGCUGGGGAGAGGAAAGACUCUACGAUGGGACCCACAUGUCAUUGACACAAAGGAAAUGCCCCCUCCCAGCGCCCUCUGGCCGCCCAGGCUCAGCCCCGGGAAGAGCCCUGGCUAAAAUUGUUUUAUGUUUGAUGUGAACUUGUAGCUGUAAAACGCUGUCAAAAGUUGGACUACACACCUAGUUUUUAGUAAUCUGUACAUUUUGUUGUAAAAACAAACAAACAAACGAAACCCAGUCCCCAUCCCUAGCCCAUCAUAUUUUUUAUGGGCGUUGACAAAUCUGUGUAUAUUAUUUGGCAGUUUGGUAUUUGCAGCGUCAGUCUUUUUCUGUUGUAACUUAUGUAGAUAUCUGGCUUAAAUAUAGUUCCUAAGAAGCUUCUAAUAAAUUAUACAAAUUAAAAGGAUUCUUUUUCUGA
rnacentral:lncRNA from 12 species